AAUCCCGCGCGGCUCAGAGAUGGGUUUCUGGACUCGCGAAGCAGCUGCAACAAGGCAUCACUCACUGUAUAAGUAUUUCCAUUUCUGAGAGCAAAAGGAAGAACUUAAGCGGGCGGCACUUGGAGUGUAAAUUGCUUUGUAGUAUUUAAAGGCAGAAUGGAUCCUGGGCAGCCGAGCUGAUCAUGAGGUUCCUGAGGCCUCCUAGCCAUGCUUCCUGUGCAGCCUAUGGAACUGAUCACUGUUGUAUUUUUAAACCUUAUUCCUGGAAGCACUACGGAUAUCAGAUCAAUUUAGAAAGCCAAAGAGUACCUCUGGGAAUGAAAUGGUAGUAAUAGAAACAAUAUUUGGCCAAACUAUCGCUGUAUGCCAAUGAUGCCAAAAAUCACAGUAACCUGGCAGCAACAAACCGGCAGGACUUCCUGUGAAAUCAUGACCACCAUGUGCUCUUUCAGCCUCUAUCAGUUCCUACCUCUAAGCACCUGAGAGCCAAAGCAAACCACAGGAAACCACAGACUCAAACUAAACGUCAGCUUUUCCCGGCUCUCAAGCCUGCUGGUCCCUGAACUAAAACUCACAUUAUCAACUCUACUGGUUCUUAGGCCUUUGGAGUCAGACUGGAACUACAGCAUUGACUCUUCCGGAACUCCAGCUUACUGACUACAGAUCUUGGAACUUUUCAGCUUCCACAACCAUAAUGAAAGCCAAGCAUAUUCCAUCAUUUCCUAAAACCAAGAUAGAGCACAUAUGGGAACUUGUGAAAUAAGGUGAGGAUGGGGAGGUGUCAAACAAGACCUAACCUCUCAACAAUCAGCUGGACACUGUUGUGUAAGAAUGUGAAGCUUGGCACUGCUGCAGCCAUCUUGUUCCAGGAAGGGUAAAACCUGAGGUUAGAAGCCAACAUCCUAAUGAUGGCAGAGAAGACAAAGAGAACCAGAGUCUAAAUGACAUUGUUGAGUUAGAUCACUACACUACCUCUAGUCUUCUUUUUAUGUGUGAUAAUAAAUCUCACUUAUAC
rnacentral:lncRNA from 1 species